UACGGGGGGGGCAAGCGUUGUUCGGAAUUACUGGGCGUAAAGCGCGCGUAGGCGGCUUUUCAAGUCGAUUGUGAAAUCCCCGGGCUUAACCUGGGAACUGCAGUCGAGACUGUCUAGCUAGAGUAUGGGAGAGGGAAGUGGAAUUUCAGGUGUAGCGGUGAAAUGCGUAGAUAUCUGAAGGAACAUCAGUGGCGAAAGCGACUUCCUGGACCAAUACUGACGCUCAUGUGCGAAAGCGUGGGGAGCAAACAGG
rnacentral:rRNA from 1 species